rnacentral:lncRNA from 1 species
GGGACAGGGGACCGUGGUGGGACCUCUGAAUGGACCCGGGGGCCUCACUGCUUUCGAGGCUGCAGACUUGGGGGGAGUGGCAUGCCGUGGGGGCAUCAUCGAUGAUGACAGCCCCGUACUGCUUCCUCAUCAUGGAGGUGGUGUGUGGGAGAGGGAUUGUGAUUCGUAACGGAUCCUUGAUGUAUCGGCUGGAUGGGGUAAUUGAGUAUGGGGCUGGUGAUGGAGGUGGAUGUGGUGGUUGGGUGGUUGGAUGGUGAAUUUGCACUGUGUCUGGUUGUGGCAUGGCUGAUGGUAUGUGUUUGGCAUGGGG